rnacentral:rRNA from 1 species
UACGGAGGGGGCCAGCGUUGUUCGGAAUUAUUGGGCGUAAAGGGUGCGCAGGUGGCUUGGCAAGUUUGAUGUGAAAGCUCAGGGCUUAACCCUGAAAUGGCAUUGAAUACUGUUGAGCUGGAGGUUUGGAGGGGGGACUGGAAUUCUUGGUGUAGCAGUGAAAUGCGCAGAUAUCAGGAGGAACACCAAUGGCGAAGGCAGACUCUGGGCCGUAACUGACGCUGAGGAGCGAAAGCAUGGGGAGCGAACAGG